rnacentral:tRNA from 1 species
CAGAAAGUAAUUUAAUACAAAAUAAUAGCUUUGGGAGCUAUAAAUCGGGGCAACCCGCUAUCUGA